UUCAAAAUUCGCCAUCAAAAAAUUCAAUGUUAAAAAAUUCGCUGUCAAAAAAUUCGCUGUUCACAUCCGGGGGACUCAGGCGUAAACAAUCGAUCCUGGCCAAAAUCGAACCAACGCCCAGCCAAUCACGUGGCGCUCCUCCGGUCAUGUGACGCAGACGGUUCACCUCACAAGACCGGGGUCAACCACGGUUACCAGCAUGAACGACGGCGCUUCACAACACCGUCUGAACUGACCAGUCUGGUGAAAUUCUGGACUGGAUGGGAGACUCUACCAAGAACUCUCUCCACAGAAGUAGUGAAUGGCAGAUACCUGACAGCCUCCACCUGCUAUGAGACCUUACAUUCCCAGGACAUUACAAGGACUACACAUCAUUUAAGACUGACAUCCUGGCCUGUAUUUGCACUUGCCAGUCAAGAUAUGUUAGGUGUUGUUCUCUAGUUAGUUUUACUUGACUGACAAAACUAAGUGCACUUUUGGAUUCCCUCCCCUACCUGUUCUCCCAACUCACCUGACAGGUUAUCUGGCUCAAGUAUGCGUGUUUCUGCCAUACAUUUAAAGUAUCUGAAGUUAAGAAUAUUUCUGGUGAACAAUACAUGCAAUCACGGCAUUAAAGCAGGAGUUAAAAAUGAA